ACCAGCUCUCCGUCCACCAGCUGGACGUCCUGCAGGAAGGCCAGCCCCUUCUGCCCCUCCCACGAAGAAAUCUUCUGCCCCUGAACGCGGCGCCCAGCAGAGACUGGAGCUGUGGAAGACAAACACGUUCACGCGGUCAGUGGACAGCUUUGGUCUCUGUGCAGCGAGGUGGGCUGAGCCUAAAUGGAUCCCGGUCCUGUGUGCUCGUUCAUGCAUCUGCAACAUCUGGCCUCAAUCUGGCUCCUACGCCCCACCGUCCCCCGAGAGACGCUCUCCACUUAGGUUUCACUGUGCUCCACCGCUACGCCUGCAGGAUCUGCUGGGGAGCCACAACCUCAAACCGAUUCAACACCAAAUGUGAGGCAGACCUUGUCACCCACCAUCAGUGUGUGAUCAGAUCCCUUCAGCCAGGCUUUAAAAUCUGAUGGAAGGCUUUAAACCAGGUG